UCUCAAACUAUUGAUGCUAAUAAAAAGAUUUAUAAGAAUCUUCAAAAUAAAAUCCAGUUUCAAAAUUCUCUAAACUGUUCAAGAACCUACAAAUCUUGUUUUCGUUAAGUUAUUGUCGCUUACUUUUGCAAUCAGCAUUCUGUUACCAGAAUAAAGUUUGUCGAUAAUACAGACUACAUUUUUCCAAAUUACCACGUACAAAAAGCUGCACAUAUCCGUUUUUGAUCCAUUUCAAAUUAUUCCAGGCCUAAUCACCAUGUGACUAGAAUGUUACAUGCUCUCGAUAACUUUCUUUUCGAUCAAGACGUCAGGCAAGCUAGUCACCUUCUUUCAAAAGAAUUCGCACGUAAGAGCAUUACAAGUACGCAGAAUAAAAGAACUUAAAAGAAAAAAAAAGAAUACUUAGUUUAAAAGAAACAAGAAUUGUGGUUAAAUUGGAACUUUUUUGUGUGGCCUCGGGCAACGUAAAAAUCAAUUAUUUUUGCUCGGCGUGCUGCAUUAACUCAAGGUAAGGCCCAUAGAAAAACCAACCAAAAAUAGAAUUUAUAGAAAUUUAUCCUGUCCAGCGUUACCCAUUGUUCUUAUAAGAACAUUUUGUCUUUCUUUUUGACAAACGACCUCCAAGAUCCAAUCAGUGUUCCAGCUUUCGUCAGAGUCGGACGAAACACAUUUCCAUGCACUGGCAUGGUCCAAAAAGCCGAUAAAGCUGACGGAAUUUUCAAAAAGAAAAACAAGUUUCAAAAAAAAAACUAUAAAGUUACGCCCAUUUCAAGUUUUUUCUCUGUUCGUUACCUACUCGGCAACCAGACAAAAUAAAUUUGAACAGAGAAUCUCGAAAAAAACCAAAAAUCUCUUAAAAAGGUUUGGUUUAUCGAUCAAAAGGAUUUUUAACUUUAUCGAAUACAUCUAUACAUCUAAAUAUCAAGAUCUGCAUAUCAAGAAAAAAAAGAACCAAGCUAGAGAAUUUGCAAGUGAGGGAAAUCCCUCCUUGCUCUACAGGCCUAUCAUAGGUGAAAUCAACAUCACAUUAAAGGUGCGAUAGAAAUAAAAGAAAAUUAUAAAGAAAAGUGCAAAAAAAAAAAAGUUAACAAUAGUUAAAACAAAAGAAAGAGACAAAUCCGUAAAAAAAAAAGAAAAGUAAAUUAUCGGAAAAAGAAAGAGAUAACACAAAAAAAAGAGA